UGGGGAAUAUUGCACAAUGGGCGCAAGCCUGAUGCAGCCAUGCCGCGUGUGUGAAGAAGGCCUUCGGGUUGUAAAGCACUUUCAGCGGGGAGGAAGGCGUUAAGGUUAAUAACCUUGGCGAUUGACGUUACCCGCAGAAGAAGCACCGGCUAACUCCGUGCCAGCAGCCGCGGUAAUACGGAGGGUGCAAGCGUUAAUCGGAAUUACUGGGCGUAAAGCGCACGCAGGCGGUCUGUCAAGUCGGAUGUGAAAUCCCCGGGCUCAACCUGGGAACUGCAUUCGAAACUGGCAGGGUAGAGUCUUGUAGAGGGGGGUAGAAGUCCAGGUGUAGCGGUGAAAUGCGUAGAGGUCUGGGGGAAUACCGGUGGCGAAGGCGGCCCCCUGGACAAAGACUGACGCUCAGGUGCGAAAGCGUGGGGAGCAAACAGG
rnacentral:rRNA from 1 species